GAGCAGGUGCGAAAGCAGGUCAUAGUGAUCCGGUGGUUCUGAAUGGAAGGGCCAUCGCUCAACGGAUAAAAGGUACUCCGGGGAUAACAGGCUGAUACCGCCCAAGAGUUCAUAUCGACGGCGGUGUUUGGCACCUCGAUGUCGGCUCAUCACAUCCUGGGGCUGAAGUAGGUCCCAAGGGUAUGGCUGUUCGCCAUUUAAAGUGGUACGCGAGCUGGGUUUAGAACGUCGUGAGACAGUUCGGUCCCUAUCUGCCGUGGGCGCUGGAGAACUGAGGGGGGCUGCUCCUAGUACGAGAGGACCGGAGUGGACGCAUCACUGGUGUUCGGGUUGUCAUGCCAAUGGCACUGCCCGGUAGCUAAAUGCGGAAGAGAUAAGUGCUGAAAGCAUCUAAGCACGAAACUUGCCCCGAGAUGAGUUCUCCCUGACUCCUUGAGAGUCCUGAAGGAACGUUGAAGACGACGACGUUGAUAGGCCGGGUGUGUAAGCGCAGCGAUGCGUUGAGCUAACCGGUACUAAUGAACCGUGAGGCUUAACCUUA
rnacentral:rRNA from 1 species